rnacentral:sRNA from 1 species
GCUGAAUCUUUUGCUCAUAAGCAGACAUAAAUCGAUGACGUGGCGCAAUACCGUCAGCAAUCUCCGGAUAAUCAAUUUGGAAGAGAAGUGCUUGCUGGCCAGCUCCUGGAUCACGUUCUUUUGUUACCUUGUAUCCAGGACGUCCGAUUUUCACAAACUUUUUAGUUUCAACUGCAGCUUUCUGUGGAGCUGGUAGAAAUGGUUG